GGCCUUGUAUUCAUUGGGUGAUCAUAGAAUGCAAUUCUGUAGGGGUGGGUGAAAAAGUAGAUCCACCAAGGCCU
rnacentral:tRNA from 1 species